rnacentral:rRNA from 1 species
UACGAAGGGGGCUAGCGUUGUUCGGAAUUACUGGGCGUAAAGGGUGCGUAGGUGGGAAUGUAAGUCAGUGGUGAAAUCUCCGUGCUUAACAUGGAAACUGCCAUUGAUACUAUGUUUCUUGAAUUUUCUGGAGGUAAGCGGAAUAUGUCAUGUAGCGGUGAAAUGCUUAGGAUAAUGACAUAGAACACCAAUUGCGAAGGCAGCUUGCUACAGGGAUAUUGACACUGAGGCACGAAAGCGUGGGGAGUCAAACAGGA